GUAGGUGGCAAGCGUUGUCCGGAUUUACUGGGCGUAAAGGGCGUGCAGGCGGUUCGUUAAGUUCGAGGUGAAAGCUCCCGGCUCAACUGGGAGAGGUCCCCGGAUACUGGCGGACUUGAGGGAGGUAGAGGAAAGUGGAAUUCCCGGUGUAGUGGUGAUAUGCGUAGAUAUCGGGAGGAACACCAGUGGCGAAGGCGGCUUUCUGGGCCUUACCUGACGCUGAGACGCGAAAGCGUGGGGAGCGAACCGGAUUAGAUACCCGGGUAGUCCACGCCGUAAACGAUGGACACUAGGUGUGGGGGUAUCGACCCCCCCCGUGCCCGAAGCCCAACGCGAUAAGUGUCCCGCCCUGGGGGAGUACGGCCGCAAGGCUA
rnacentral:rRNA from 1 species